rnacentral:rRNA from 1 species
UAGGGAAUUUUCCACAAUGGGCGAAAGCCUGAUGGAGCAACGCCGCGUGAGGGAUGAAGGUCUUCGGAUUGUAAACCUCUUUGGAGUGGGAAGAACGAUUUUCAUGUUAAUAGCGUGGAGAAGUGACGGUACCACUAGAACAAGACACGGCUAACUCUGUGCCAGCAGCCGCGGUAAUACAGAGGUGUCAAACGUUGUCCGGAAUUACUGGGCGUAAAGGGCGCGUAGGCGGCCUUAUAAGUCAGAUGUGAAAGCUCUGGGCUCAACCCAGGAAUUGCAUCUGAUACUGUAAGGCUUGAGUUCGGUAGAGGAGGGCGGAAUUCCAGGUGUAGCGGUGAAAUGCGUAGAUAUCUGGAGGAACACCCGUGGCGAAGGCGGCUCUCUGGUCCGAAACUGACGCUGAGGUGCGAAAGCUAGGGUAGCAAACAGGAUUAGAUACCCCCGUAGUCC